rnacentral:lncRNA from 1 species
AUAUCAUCCUAGUCUCCGCUUAUAUCUGCACAUAGCCUCCUCCAUGAUUUCUGUCUCGUAGGACCUGCCUCACUUCUGCCUGACCUCAUCUAAUAUCAACUGACUCCUUCCUAUUUCCAAACGAGGUCACCUCCACAGGCACAGGGAUUUAGGACUUCAACUGUAAGCCUGAACUGUAGGACAAGAGCAGUAACUACCCCUCUGCCUCUGUGUAGACAUUUACUGGAUCAAGAAUGUUUCUGCAGGGAAAGCAAAUGUGUAACACAUCUCCAUACUCCAUGGUCUUCAAGGA